CUGGCAUGCAGGGAAGUUUGCCUAAGGAUCCCACUGGGCUGUUGGCCAGAGCUGCUUAGAUUUCAUGGACAUAAACUGUGAUGUCCCAGAGAGACCUGUCUUAAGAGAUGGUGGAGAGUAAUGCAGUCAUUGAAGUAGCUGGAUCCCACUGUGGGCGUUGAAGAUCAGAAUCAGCAUCAAUCUGACAAAAUGAAAAAAUGACUACAGAGAAACAUCUUCUUAGGAACUCUAACAGCAUGAUGUGUCUGAAUAAGAGAAAUGCACAUGAAAAGAACAUUUUGCCACAUGAAUUCAUUUUGACUAAAGCAACAGAGUCUUGUGACCUGGAACUCGGACUUUAUCCCAGCAACAGAGUUGCAUUGACCCAACAUAAAAAACAACAUGUUAUAUUUGGUGAAGCAGCACGAGUUGUCAGUAUUUGGAAACUGAUUAUGUUAGCAAGUGGCUACCAGCAGAGAAAUUUGUAGGC